AAGAUGAGAACAAUUACAAGAGACCCUUGCCAGCCACCUCCAGAAAAGCAGUUUUAACCUCAGAGCAAUGAGGAGUGACAUAGCAAACUACUGCUGAUGUCUGAACAACACAAGGCAUUGAGCCAGCCCUGGUUCCUUAUUCCUUGAAUUUCUUUAGGCAGUACAUUUUCAUUGUAUUGAGCAGCAGAGACUGGACAUCUCCAACUGCAGCCAAAUUCUACAAAUCAUCAAGAAAACA
rnacentral:lncRNA from 13 species